UCGGCCGCGGGAAUUCGAUUCAGGCCUAACACAUGCAAGUCGAACGGUAUCGGGCCUUCGGGUGCUGACGAGUAGAGAACGGGUGAGUAAUGUAUCGGAACGUGCCCAGUAGUGGGGGAUAGCCCGGCGAAAGCCGGAUUAAUACCGCAUACGACAUACGGGUGAAAGGGGGGGAUCGCAAGACCUCUCGCUAUUGGAGCGGCCGAUAUCAGAUUAGGUAGUUGGUGGGGUAAAGGCCUACCAAGCCUGCGAUCUGUAGUUGGUCUGAGAGGACGACCAGCCACACUGGGACUGAGACACGGCCCAGACUCCUACGGGAGGCAGCAGUGGGGAAUUUUGGACAAUGGGCGCAAGCCUGAUCCAGCAAAGGCGCGUGCAGGAAGAAGGCCUUCGGGUUGUAAUCUUAAGGAGUCAGGGAAGAAAUCCUCUGGGUUAAUACCUCGGGGGGAUGACGGUACCUAAGAAUAGC
rnacentral:rRNA from 1 species